GACGAACGCUGGCGGCGUGCUUAACACAUGCAAGUCGAACGGAGUGGCGAGCGGGUGAGUAACACGUGGGUGACCUGCCCUGCACUUCGGGAUAAGCCUGGGAAACUGGGUCUAAUACCGGAUAGUGUGGGAUGGGCCCGCGGCCUAUCAGCUUGUUGGUGGGGUAAUGGCGUCCCAAGGCGGCGACGGGUAGCCGGCCUGAGAAGGUGGACGGCCACAUUGGUCCUGAGACACGCCCCAGACUCCUACGGUGGGCAGCAGUGGGGAAUAUUGCACAAUGGGCGCAAGCCUGAUGCAGUGACGCCGCGUGGGGGAUGACGGCCUUCGGGUUGUAAACUCCUUUCACCAUCGACGCGGUAGAUGGAGAAGAAGCACCGGCUAACUACGUGCCAGCCGCCGCGGUAAUAC
rnacentral:rRNA from 1 species